GUGGAUUUUUGAGGCAGGAUAAUGACGGGACUAAAACACUACCUGUGGAUUCCUGAGGUAUUGAGUUCUAAAGCGCCGCUACAAGAGAAUAAAGAAGGUCACCCACAUUUGGAUCAACAUGAAGGACACAUCUGCAUGGUCCCCACCUCCCUGUCAAGCUAAAGGUCUGCCCUUCACGUGUCAUGGACAGCCACAACCACCAUGGAAGAGCAGAGACAGACAGAAACAUUAUUAUCUGUUUCAUCCUUAAAGAGAUCUCUCCUGCUGAUGUCUGGUCAUCAUGACAUAUUUGAACACCCAGCACCUUCACUGAAGUGGUGUGGUGGUGUCUUGAAAAAAAGAAAAAAAAAGGUGCAGAUAAAAGUGAAGAGAUACA
ensembl:lncRNA